rnacentral:tRNA from 1 species
UGGCAUAGCGGUUAAAGCGCUUGGCUGCUAACUGAAAGGUUGGUGGUUCGAACCCACC